CACGUAGGGUGCGAGCGUUGUCCGGAAUUAUUGGGCGUAAAGAGCUCGUAGGCGGUUUGUCGCGUCUGCCGUGAAAGUCCGGGGCUCAACUCCGGAUCUGCGGUGGGUACGGGCAGACUAGAGUGCAGUAGGGGAGACUGGAAUUCCUGGUGUAGCGGUGAAAUGCGCAGAUAUCAGGAGGAACACCGAUGGCGAAGGCAGGUCUCUGGGCUGUAACUGACGCUGGAGGAGCGAAAGCAUGGGGAGCGAACAGG
rnacentral:rRNA from 1 species